rnacentral:misc_RNA from 1 species
GAUGAAGAACGCAGCGAAAUGCGAUAAGUAAUGUGAAUUGCAGAAUUCAGUGAAUCAUCGAAUCUUUGAACGCACAUUGCGCCCCUUGGUAUUCCGAGGGGCAUGCCUGUUCGAGCGUCAUUACACCACUCAAGCUAUGCUUGGUAUUGGGCGUCGUCCUUAGUUGGGCGCGCCUUAAAGACCUCGGCGAGGCCACCCCGGCUUUAGGCGUAGUAGAAUUUAUUCGAACGUCUGUCAAAGGAGAGGAACUCUGCCGACUGAAACCUUUAUUUUUCUAGGUUGACCUCGGAUCAGGUAGGGAUACCCGCUGAACUUAAGCAUAUCAAUAAGCGGAGGA